AUUGAACGCUGGCGGCAGGCUUAACACAUGCAAGUCGAGCGAGCGGCGGACGGGUGAGUAAUGUCUGGGAAACUGCCUGAUGGAGGGGGAUAACUACUGGAAACGGUCGCUAAUAACGCAUACUAUCAGAUGUGCCAAGAUGGGAUGAGCUAGUAGGUGGGGUAAUGGCUCACCUAGGCGACGGUCUCUAGCUGGUCUGAGAGGAUGACCAGCCACACUGGAACUGAGACACGGUCCAGACUCCUACGGGAGGCAGCAGUGGGGAAUAGUGCACAAUGGGCGCAAGCCGGAUGCAGCCAUGCCGCGUGUGUGAAGAAGGCCUUCGGGUUGUAAAGCACUGUCAGCUGGGAGGCGUUACUCGCAGAAGAAGCACCGGCUAACUCCGUGCCAGCAGCCGCGGUAAUUC
rnacentral:rRNA from 1 species